rfam:Schistocephalus solidus strain NST_G2 genome assembly, scaffold: SSLN_scaffold0001364
GGCCUCGUAGCUCAGUUGGCUAGAGCGUUGACUGUACUAAAGCCUUCCCCUUGCUGGUGUGGGUUCGAAACCCACUGAGGCCG